rnacentral:rRNA from 1 species
CAUCUGAUUUGGAAUAAAGAUUUAUCGCUAAGGGAUGGGGAUGCGUCUGAUUAGGUAGUAGGCGGGGCAACGGCCCACCUAGCCGACGAUCAGUAGGGGUUCUGAGAGGAAGGUCCCCCACAUUGGAACUGAGACACGGUCCAAACUCCUACGGGAGGCAGCAGUGAGGAAUAUUGGUCAAUGGGCGAGAGCCUGAACCAGCCAAGUAGCGUGCAGGAUGACGGCCCUAUGGGUUGUAAACUGCUUUUGCAUGGGAAUAAAGUGAGGCACGUGUGCCUUUUUGUAUGUACCAUGAGAAUAAGGACCGGCUAAUUCCGUGCCAGCAGCCGCGGUAAUACGGAAGGUCCGGGCGUUAUCCGGAUUUAUUGGGUUUAAAGGGAGCGCAGGCUGUAUUUUAAGCGUGACGUGAAAUGUACGGGCUCAACCGGUGCAGUGCGUCGCGAACUGGAGUACUUGAGUGCACUCGAGGAAUGCGGAAUUCGUGGUGUAGCGGUGAAAUGCUUAGAUAUCACGAAGAACUCCGAUUGCGAAGGCAGCGUUCCAGGGUGUAACUGACGCUAAAGCUCGAAAGUGCGGGUAU